GACGAGGUGGCCGAGUGGUAAAGGCGAUGGACUGCUAAUCCAUUGUGCUCUGCAGCGCGUGGGUUCGAAUCCCAUCCUCGUCG
rnacentral:tRNA from 1 species